AUGGGGGGGGCGUUUGUACCCCCUCCUUUCCAGGUGGGGUCUGCGAGCGUCCAACUGGCCGAGAGACACCUGGUGUUUGACGGAGCUCCUCUGAGCAUCUCCACGGUCAGGAGGACCAUGCUACACAACACGGGUCACCAGGACGCCUUCUUCCAGGUUUCUGAUGUGCACCCUGUCCUCGGGAUGACUGUCUCCCCUCAGGAGGGUGUGGUCCCAGCAGGCGGUCAGACAGAGAUUGAGGUGCUCUUCACCCCAGAGGCUGUCGUCAAGUUUGACACCAGAGUGGAGGUGAGAGCUCACGGCUCACGGGUCGGGACCCAACACCCAGCCGGUGAAACUGGAUAUUUGUACGUGAAGAGGCCACGUGUUUCUGCUGCCUGGACAGUUUGCACAUUCAUGUAAUGUUUUACCCAGUAUAAACAUCACGUACGUGUGCAGACCUUCUAGAACGUUCCUGGGAGGUGCGACGCUCGACUCUGCUUUGGAAAUGAAAACACCCCAGACUGUCAGUUCCAGUAGGUCACUGUGUUCAGGAUCCUUACUCAUGUCCAUCUAGUGAAAGUUACCACGCAUGUCAGGUGGGGGAGAGUAAAUCCCCUCUUGUCCCUCCUCACAUGUUUACCACGGUAGGGCACGCUGUGGAACUGCACGAGGAUGACGACCCGUAACCUGCAGGUUGUCGGUUCUAAUCCUACCCCCCGUACACUGCUCCGUUGCCUUUGAGUACCAAGUUUACCCCAAACUGCUGUGGUAUAAAUACCCCGCCGUGUAAAGCGGUAAACCUUGCGAGAAGGUGACAGAACCGUAACGGAGUAAAGCGACACCUUUUUCUGCACAGUCAGAGGCUGUGUGUUCAACAGGUGCUUUGAACAGCGCGAUAUCUACACACGUUUACCGAGGUACCGUAGUAAAAGUAACUUCUCGCUGUCCCCUGCCUUUGUUCGCGCUGAAGAAACAUUCAUACGGUUUGUAAAAAGCACCGCAUUUGUUCAUGGCGACUCCCUGAGGCGGUAAACAGCCAUGUGUGCGGACAGUGACUGAGCAGGUGUGUGUCCUGUCCAGAUCGCGCUGCGCAACGCAAGGGCGCUGGAGCUCCGGCUCGGAGGGUCGGUGACCCCCCCUCGGGUGUCCAUCGGUGUGGUGAGUGUCCGUCGCGCAGCUGUCAGUGCCACUGCGCUCCUUGGACAACAGUUUUGUACACUUUGUACCGUUUUGCUGAGAGACGUCGGCACUGCGAACCGCGGUUCUGUCUUCACCCGUUACCUGGUCCCCCCCGGUCCUUCACCGGCAGAAAUCGCUCCAGUUCCACGGCGUUUACUGCGGUUCGCGCCGGGCCCUUCCCUUCUCCCUGGAGAAUCGCUCCCUGGGCCGAGCCGUGCUCCGCUUCGACUUGUCCCGACAC
rnacentral:lncRNA from 1 species